CAAAAAUACAAUUUCGUUUUCCAAAUUGAUUUGAACCGAGAAAGUUGACAUGCUAACUUUAAAUCGUACACUAAAACUUUUAAAAAAUGUUUGUGUCUACUUUACACAUCUAUGCAGUCUGCUGAUGUAGUGAUGGUGUGUAAUGUAAAGCAUAAACAUGACGAAGCGUAAAUUUGAAGGAUUUUUCCAUAGCAAAUGAACAUUUGAUGAACAGACGGUAUUUAUUAUAUAUUUUUUCAAUUUAUUUGUAGAUCUCACCAACCAUGUUUGAGUUUAUAAAUCCAAUCUAAGUUGAUUAUGUCGAUGUUGGAAAAAUUCAAAUUUUUGUGUUUAUCAAACUUUGAUCGCGAUGGGGUGGGGUGCAAAGCAAAAUUUUCUAGUUACAGGCCUAGAGAUUUCAUUUUUAACGAUAUGAAGAAUAUAGGUAUCGAUACCAAUUUCUAUUAAAUGAUAAUGUUUACAUUUAAAAAGCGUAAGGGACAGACUAUUAAUAUAAACCAAGCAGAAUUGUGUUCUGUCGGCACCUCAACUCCAAAUUGUGUAAAGAUAGGAUGCCGUUUAUGCCCUUUUCUCAUAAUUCAGAGCCUCUAAAGCUAAAGUUCCUGCCGAUAUAUUGGAAAAAGGGGGAGUCCUAUUUUACUUAUUUUACAUAUAUUUAAUAUUAAAGAAAUUACCACAGCAAGAAUGUCCGUUCGACAUGUAUAAAAUAUGCACUGUUUCUGUAGGCCCUGGAAAUGCAUAAAUAAAACAUGUGUCCAUAACAACCUGAAACGGCCGACUUCGAUCGGCUAAUGUCAGCUGAAUAGUCUUGUUUUUUUCGAUAUUUCCAGCACUAGUUGUGUUUUAUGCAAGAAUAGCGAUAACACACGUUUGUUUCGUGAAACAACAUCUGCAGAAUCCCUCGGGCUAUGUUGGUGCACUCGCCCUACGGGCUCGUGCACCAACCAAUCCCUUGGGAUUCUGCAGAUGUUGUUACACAAAAAAAUGUGUGUUAACCCUACAGUUUAUCAUAAUAGCGUUAUCAUAAUAGCAUCUUAGUAGCUUGCAGUUUAUACAAAUUUUACUAAUUCGGGAAAGUUUGCUGUUACUUGCGGAGACAGGUUUGUACUGAUACAGAAUCCAGGAAUACUGGUUAGGUUUACUGCCUGCCGUUACAUAAAUGAUGUACUGUUGAAAAACGAUGUUAAACACAAAAACAAACUAAUUAAAUAUAUUUACUGUGUAAUAACCGUCAUUUAACUUUGUAACAUAAACAAAUCAGUAAUACAGAUUCUGUAUGUUGAAAAGGUAAAAUAUUACUCUUUAUAUACCAUAAUGAUAUUGUAAUCAUUUUGAGGCACUUGGCUGCUUUAUUAUUCUUAUGUUUCUAAUUUAUGAUAUGUUUCGUUUGUAACUUACGAUACUGUUUUAGGCUUUUGUGCCCACUCCCCUCCCCCAUCCCCACUACACACACAAAUGUUUUUGUAGGCACUUAGACUUGACUUUGUCAAUCAAAAUUCAUGUCAUGCAUAUCUCAAAAAGAAUCAGACCCAGAGUCAUCAAACCUCACAGGAUUGUCAUUCAGCAUAAGAAGAUGUGCACCUGAGGUUUUGUUUGGAAUUUCUGUCAGUCAGAGCCAAGUUAUGUCUUUGAUUUAGUCUAAAAUAUGCAUUAAAGAGUGUAUAAGUUUGUUUCACUUGUAUCUCUUGAAGUAUUUGACUUAUAAAACAUUAGAGGAUUGUUAUAUAGCAUGUGCAGUUGAGAGCAGUGCACCUGGUAUUCUGUUUAGGAUUUCACUCAACCAAAGCAGAGUUAUGGUCCUUAACUUAGUGAAAAAUGUAUUUAAAGUGCUUAAAAGUUUCUGUUGUAUAUGUCUUAAGAAAGUAUUUGAAGUGGCAUGAAAGUAUGCUGGAAUACUAUUCAGCAUGUUAAUUUGUCCACCUGAGUUUCAUUUUGGAUUUCACAGUUCAAGACCUGAGUAAUUACCCUUGACUUAAUCAAAAAUAUGCAUUAGAGGCAUUAAGGUUAGUGACCCGUGUAUCUAAAAAUAUUUUACUUCCAAGUAAUAAAACAUGAGAGAAUUAUUACCCGAGUCAUGAAACUGUAAACAGUAACAGGAAGUAGGGUUACCAGGAUCACUGUCCUAUGGAUACACAUCUAGUUUAUGUUUUUAGCUCACAUGUCAUAAAGUGACAAGGUGAGCUUUUGUGAUCGCGCAGCGUCCGUCGUCCGUGCGUAAACUUUUGCUUGUGACCACUCUAGAGGUCACAUUUUUCAUGGGAUCUUUAUGAAAGUUGGUCAGAAUGUUCAUCUUGAUGAUAUCUAGGUCAAGUUCGAAACUGGGUCACGUGCGGUCCAAAACUAGGUCAAAAAAUAGAAAAACCUUGUGACCUCUCUAGAGGCCAUACUUUUCAAUGGAUCUUCAUGAAAGUUAGUCAGAAUGUUCACCUUGAUGAUCUCUAGGUCAAGUUCGAAACUGGGUCACGUGCAGUCAAAAGCUAGGUCAGUAGGUCAAAUAAUAAAAAAACCUUGUGACCUCGCUAGAGGCCAUAUUUUUCACGGGAUCUUCAUGAAAGUUGAUCUGAAUGUUUGUCUUGAUGAUAUCUAGAUCAAGUUCGAAACUGUCACGUGCGUUCCAAAACUAGGUCAGUAGGUCUAAAAAUAGAAAAACAUUUUGACCUCUUUUAAGGCCAUACUGUUCAAUGGAUCUUCAUGAAAGUUAGUCAGAAUGUUCACCUUGAUGAUAUCUAGGUCGAAUUCGAAACUGGGUCACGUGCGGUCAAAAACUACCGUAUUUUGGUGUGUAUAGGUCGCGGUAAUGUAUAGUCCUCAUCUAGUUAUUGCUCUGGAAAUGGUCGGAAAAUUUAACUUCUAGCGUAUUAGUCGCAGUUAAAUUUCGGAUUUUUUCCCCAGCAAUAUUUAAUAUUUACUGGCAAAAAAGUUAUGGCGGCGGCCAUAUUGAUGCCGCAGACUGAAUUAUUAUCAGAACCUGAUUGGUGGAAAUCGGACAGUGUUGUUUUCGUUUCCAACCGUUUCGUACCAACAGUAGUAUCGGUAACAGAUUAUAUCAAAGAAAAGCGGCUUUUUGACACUAAUUGGCAGCAGACGGUUUGCGUUUACAUUCUGUUAUCAUGCAAGUUUAAGUGUGAAUUGUUUGCACAGCAAUUAUAACACCUUUUCGUGUCAUGUAAUUAACCGCGUUCUUUUGAUUCUGAGUAAAAAGAUUAACAAAAUAUCUCUUUUUGGAUUUUUUUCUUUUAUUUAAAAAUCAAAAGUAAAAAAUUAUCUUUCAAGUUUUUUAAUAUGCUAAGAAUUAGUAUAAACAAUGUUUGGAAUGGAGGACGGAUCUGUCCAGAUUUUAUCCAACCCGGAGUACAUGUCAAUGGCGUCCAGUAAAACGAAAGUAGAAACAAACGUAAUUCAGACUGCAAAAACAUCUUUGAAUUAAAGUCAAUGAAAUUCAAAGCAGGAAGACAUUCCAAACAAACAAAGAAGAAAAUGCAGAAAAUAAGUUGAAAGGCAGCAGAGACUGUGUUGUUGAAAUUCUUGUUAUAACAAGUUCUUUAGUAAAAAAUGUGUUCAGAGAGUACUUAGCCUUCAUUCUUGAAGACAUCUGUUGCAAUUGGUUCAAUUUGUAAAAGUCCAAAUGGACUGCUAAUGAACAAAUAUGAAAACACUUAUAUAUAACUGGUUGUAGAAUAUUCAUGGUUGUUAGAUUUGUAUUGAGAAAUAUGCAGUAAAAUACAGGGGAGAUCCUGCAUGGUUUUAGGAGUACAGUAUUAUUUCACGAAGAACAAGUUCAUAAUUUUCACUGAAAAGCAAAAAAUCUUUUCAAUACAUAUGCAUCUGUAACUACAAUAGUAACAUUGAAAAACUUAUAAAAAUAUUACUGAACUGUUUUAACAUGACAGCUUUGCAUGAGAAUGACGUUUUUGGCAGGGGGAAGGGUAUUUGCAUGCAACACUUGAAGAAUAUUAUAUCUCUACAUAAAUCGUCACCAGUUCAUAGUUUGUGAUUGGUCUGUAUUCUGCAUAGGUUUUGUUGGCUAAUAAGUAAAAUAAAAAAAAUAAUUUUUUUUUUGAAAAUUGAGUUCAGAAAUUGGAUACAUGUAAUAAAGUGCAAGCAGAAUGA